UUGAACGCUGGCGGCAUGCUUUACACAUGCAAGUCGAACGGUAACAGGCCUUCGGGUGCUGACGAGUGGCGAACGGGUGAGUAAUGCAUCGGAACGUGCCCAAUCGUGGGGGAUAACGUAGCGAAAGUUACGCUAAUACCGCAUACGCCCUGAGGGGGAAAGCAGGGGAUCUUCGGACCUUGUGCGAAUGGAGCGGCCGAUGUCAGAUUAGCUAGUUGGUGGGGUAAAGGCUCACCAAGGCGACGAUCUGUAGCUGGUCUGAGAGGACGACCAGCCACACUGGAACUGAGACACGGUCCAGACUCCUACGGGAGGCAGCAGUGGGGAAUUUUGGACAAUGGGCGCAAGCCUGAUCCAGCAAUGCCGCGUGCAGGAUGAAGGCCUUCGGGUUGUAAACUGCUUUUGUACGGAACGAAAAGACUCCUUCUAAUAAAGGGGGUUCAUGACGGUACCGUAAGAAUAAGCACCGGCUAACUACGU
rnacentral:rRNA from 1 species